UCUAACUAAGUAUAAUACUUUUGUACAUUUAGCUUCCACCUAAAAGGUCCUUAUAAAGGAGUUAGAA
rnacentral:tRNA from 1 species